AUUGAACGCUGGCGGCAGGCCUAACACAUGCAAAUCGAGCGGCAGCGGAAAGUAGCUUGCUACUUUGCCGGCGAGCGGCGGACGGGUGAGUAAUGUCUGGGAAACUGCCUGAUGGAGGGGGAUAACUACUGGAAACGGUAGCUAAUACCGCAUAACGUCGCAAGACCAAAGAGGGGGACCUUCGGGCCUCUUGCCAUCAGAUGUGCCCAGAUGGGAUUAGCUAGUAGGUGGGGUAACGGCUCACCUAGGCGACGAUCCCUAGCUGGUCUGUGAGAAUGACCGGCAACACUGGAACUGAUACACGGUCCAGACUCCUACGGGAGGCAGCUGUGGGGAAUAUUGAACAAUGGGCGCAAGCCUGAUGCAGCCAUGCCGCGUGUAUGAAGAAGGCCUUCGGGUUGUAAAGUACUUUCAGCGGGGAGGAAGGCGCUGAGGUUAAUAACCUCAGCGAUUGACGUUACCCGCAGAAGAAGCACCGGCUAACUCCGUGCCAGCAGCCGCAGUAA
rnacentral:rRNA from 1 species